CCGACAUUGUCGCCCGAGUCGUUACUCUAACUGCUUGCAGAGGAGGACGCCGAAGGUGGGGCUGAUGACUGGGGUGAAGUCGUAACAAGGUAGCCGUACCGGAAGGUGUGGCUGGAUCACCUC
rnacentral:rRNA from 1 species